rnacentral:rRNA from 1 species
UACAGAGGGGGCAAGCGUUGUUCGGAAUUACUGGGCGUAAAGGGCGCGUAGGCGGCCUUCUAAGUCGAACGUGAAAUCCCCGGGCUCAACCCGGGAACUGCGUCCGAUACUGGAAGGCUUGAAUCCGGGAGAGGGAUGCGGAAUUCCAGGUGUAGCGGUGAAAUGCGUAGAUAUCUGGAGGAACACCGGUGGCGAAGGCGGCCAUCUGGACGGAUACUGACGCUGAGACGCGAAAGCGUGGGUAGCAAACAGG